CUUACCAUGCAGUCGAGCGGUAGCACAAGGGAGCUUGCUCCCUGGGUGACGAGCGGCGGACGGGUGAGUAAUGUCUGGGAAACUGCCUGAUGGAGGGGGAUAACUACUGGAAACGGUAGCUAAUACCGCAUAACGUCGCAAGACCAAAGAGGGGGACCUUCGGGCCUCUUGCCAUCAGAUGUGCCCAGAUGGGAUUAGCUAGUAGGUGGGGUAAUGGCUCACCUAGGCGACGAUCCCUAGCUGGUCUGAGAGGAUGACCAGCCACACUGGAACUGAGACACGGUCCAGACUCCUACGGGAGGCAGCAGUGGGGAAUAUUGCACAAUGGGCGCAAGCCUGAUGCAGCCAUGCCGCGUGUGUGAAGAAGGCCUUCGGGUUGUAAAGCACUUUCAGCGAGGAGGAAGGUGGUGAACUUAAUACGUUCAUCAAUUGACGUUACUCGCAGAAGAAGCACCGGCUAACUCCGUGCCAGCAGCCGCGGUAAUACGGAGGGUGCAAGCGUUAAUCGGAAUUACUGGGCGUAAAGCGCACGCAGGCGGUUUGUUAAGUCAGAUGUGAAAUCCCCGGGCUCAACCUGGGAACUGCAUUUGAAACUGGCAAGCUAGAGUCUCGUAGAGGGGGGUAGAAUUCCAGGUGUAGCGGUGAAAUGCGUAGAGAUCUGGAGGAAUACCGGUGGCGAAGGCGGCCCCCUGGACGAAGACUGACGCUCAGGUGCGAAAGCGUGGGGAGCAAACAGGA
rnacentral:rRNA from 1 species